UAAUCCCUGCUAGUAUUGGUGUAGCAUUUGGAAAGAACCAACACUAUCAACUUGGGAGCUUGACUCUAGACGCCUAAUGCAGGCCUUCCUCGAUAGAAGGAAGCGUGAAUCGUUUAGGUUGGCACCCACCGUGAAGAAUACGGUUCUUUUUCAAAGCCGCCAAGCUAUGCAGGGAUUUU
rnacentral:other from 1 species